GAAUCCCUGCCGUACACGAGCGCGCCAGAAGUUCCGAGCCAACACUGAGUGCGAGGGAGCCCGGGCUCUGGACGCGGAUGACGGCCCCCGGGGGCGCAGGCUCCCGCCCGGGGUUGUCAGAAACGGCCGGGAGGGCACCCACCUGUCGAGGACAGGUUCGGGAACUCCGGCGCGCACGGUACGGCGGGGAUUUG
rnacentral:other from 1 species